rnacentral:rRNA from 1 species
AUUGAACGCUGGCGGCAGGCCUAACACAUGCAAGUCGAGCGGAUGAAGGGAGCUUGCUCCUGGAUUCAGCGGCGGACGGGUGAGUAAUGCCUAGGAAUCUGCCUGGUAGUGGGGGAUAACGCCGGAAACGGGCGCUAAUACCGCAUACGUCCUGAGGGAGAAAGUGGGGGAUCCUCGGACCUCACGCUAUCAGAUGAGCCUAGGUCGGAUUAGCUAGUUGGUGGGGUAAAGGCCUACCAAGGCGACGAUCCGUAACUGGUCUGAGAGGAUGAUCAGUCACACUGGAACUGAGACACGGUCCAGACUCCUACGGGAGGCAGCAGUGGGGAAUAUUGGACAAUGGGCGAAAGCCUGAUCCAGCCAUGCCGCGUGUGUGAAGAAGGUCUUCGGAUUGUAAAGCACUUUAAGUUGGGAGGAAGGGCAGUAAGUUAAUACCUUGCUGUUUUGACGUUACCAACAGAAUAAGCACCGGCUAACUUCGUG